rnacentral:rRNA from 1 species
UACGUAGGGUGCGAGCGUUGUCCGGAAUUAUUGGGCGUAAAGAGCUCGUAGGCGGUGUGUCACGUCGGCCGUGAAAACCUGCAGCUUAACUGUGGGCGUGCGGUCGAUACGGGCAUCACUGGAGUUCGGCAGGGGAGACUGGAAUUCCUGGUGUAGCGGUGAAAUGCGCAGAUAUCAGGAGGAACACCGAUGGCGAAGGCAGGUCUCUGGGCCGAAACUGACGCUGAGGAGCGAAAGCGUGGGUAGCAAACAGG